rnacentral:rRNA from 1 species
ACAAGUACCGUGAGGGAAAGUUGCAAAGCACUUUGAAGAGAGAGUUAAAGAGGACGUGAAACCGGUAAGGUGGAAACGGAUAGAGUCGGCGUAUCAUUCAAUUAUUCAGUUACAUUAUUUUUAUGUUGUGACCUCUGAGCUCCAGAUUGGGACCGAGGGAAUCAGCAUAAUUGUUUGUGGUGCAUUUACUUGAUUGGUGCUUGGGGAUGUUUGAGGCAGAUUUGUUUCCGUCGUUUUGAGGCCAGCUUGCUGGUACCCAAACGGUGUUAGCAUUUUUUGUCUUGGGCAUUUGAGUAUGGCUCACGUGUAUUUAUUGGAACGAUCUGAGUGUAAGUUACGGUCGCAUGCGACACGUGCUUUUCAAUUAGUUCGGUCCAGUUAAUGCUCUCGUACUCGUUCCCCAUGUAAAAGCCGGUCAUCUAUCCGACCCGUCUUGAAACACGGACCAAGGAGUUUAUCGUGUGCGCAAGUUUUUGGGUGUUAAAAACUUAAAAGCGAAAUGAAAGUAAAUGACUCUUUAGAGUCUGAUGUGUCUUGUAAAAAAGUGUAGCAUGGCCCGACCAUUCUAACUGUUUACAGUAGGGUGGCGGAAGAGCGUACGCGGUGAGACCCGAAAGAUGGUGAACUAUUCCUGAGCAGGACGAAGCCAGAGGAAACUCUGGUGGAAGUCCGAAGCGGUUCUGACGUGCAAAUCGAUCGUCUGACUUGGGUAUAGGGGCGAAAGACUGUCAUU